rnacentral:rRNA from 1 species
AAGGAUUAUUCACUUCCCGAGGGGCUCGCGGCCCAUCAGCUUGUUGGUGAGGGUAACGGCCCACCAAGGCGACAACGGGUAGCUGGUCUGAGAGGAUGGUCAGCCACACUGGAACUGAGACACGGUCCAGACACCUACGGGUGGCAGCAGUCGAGAAUCAUUCGCAAUGGGGGAAACCCUGACGAUGCGACGCCGCGUGGAGGAUGAAGGCCUUAGGGUUGUAAACUCCUGUCAAGAGGGAAUAAGCAAGUGAAGGUACCUCUAGAGGAAGGGGCGGCUAAUUCCGUGCCAGCAGCCGCGGUAACCACGGGAAGCCCCGAGCGUUGUUCGGAUUCAUUGGGCGUAAAGGGUGCGUAGGCGGCGCGGAAAAGUCCGGCGUGAAAGGCAGAGGCUCAACCUCUGGACUGCGUUGGAUACUUCCGUGCUUGAGGACUGGAGGGGAGACUGGAAUUCACGGUGUAGCAGUGAAAUUGCGUAGAUAUCGUGAGGAAGACCGGUGGCGAAGGCGAGUCUCUGGACAGAUCCUGACGCUGAGGCGCGAAAGGCUGUGUGGAGCGACCAGGAUUAGAUACCCUGGUAGGUCCAGGCAGUAAACGAUGUGAGGCUUGAUGUGGGGGGAUUCGACCCCUUCCGUGUUCGAAGCUUACGCGAUAAGCUCACCGCCUGAGGAGUACGCACGCAAGGCUAAAACUCAAAGAAAUUUGCUGGGGACCCGCACAAGCGGGGGAGUAUGGGGCUAAUUCCGGUGCAACGCGAAGAACCUUUACCUGGCCUUGACAUGCAUUGUGUCGUCGGUGAAAGCCGGCUAGUCCUGGAAACAGGACGCUUUGCACAGGUGCUGCAUGGCUGUCGUCAGCUCGUGUCGUGAGGUGUUGGGUUAAGUCCCGCAACGAGCGCAACCCUUGUGGUCAGUUACUAACCGGCUUAGCCGGAGGACUCUGGCCAGACUGCCCUGUCAAACGGGGAGGAAGGUGGGGACGACGUCAAGUCAGUAUGGCC